UUUCGGUGGGAAGAAUUGCACGGGUUAAUACCCUGUGUAGAUGACGGUACCCGACUAAGAAGCACCGGCUAACUACGUGCCAGCAGCCGCGGUAAUACGUAGGGUGCGAGCGUUAAUCGGAAUUACUGGGCGUAAAGCGUGCGCAGGCGGUUUUGGUAAGUCAGAUGUGAAAUCCCCGGGCUCAACCUGGGAACUGCAUUUGAGACUGCCAAGCUGGAGUUUGGCAGAGGGGGUGGAAUUCCACGUGUAGCAGUGAAAUGCGUAGAGAUGUGGAGGAACACCGAUGGCGAAGGCAGCCCCCUGGGCCAAUACUGACGCUCAUGCACGAAAGCGUGGGGAGCAAACAGGAUUAGAUACCCUGGUAGUCCACGCCCUAAACGAUGUCAACUAGGUGUUGGGAGGGUUAAACCUUUUAGUGCCGUAGCUAACGCGUGAAGUUGACCGCCUGGGGAGUACGGCCGCAAGGCUAAAACUCAAAGGAAUUGACGGGG
rnacentral:rRNA from 1 species